UUAAGUGACUAAGCGUACACGGUGGAUGCCUGGGCAGUCAGAGGCGAUGAAGGACGUACUAACUUGCGAUAAGCGCAGAUAAGGCAGUAAGAGCCGUUUGAGUCUGCGAUUUCCGAAUGGGGAAACCCAACUGCAUAAGCAGUUACUGUUAACUGAAUACAUAGGUUAACAGAGCAAACCGGGGGAACUGAAACAUCUAAGUACCCCGAGGAGAAGAAAUCAACCGAGAUUCCGGUAGUAGCGGCGAGCGAACCUGGAUUAGCCCUUAAGCACUCGGUGAAGUAGGUGAACAAGCUGGAAAGCUUGGCGAUACAGGGUGAUAGCCCCGUAACCGACGCUUCAUCGAGCGUGAAAUCGAGUAGGGCGGGACACGUGAUAUCCUGUCUGAAUAUGGGGGGACCAUCCUCCAAGGCUAAAUACUCCUGACUGACCGAUAGUGAACCAGUACCGUGAGGGAAAGGCGAAAAGAACCCCUGUGAGGGGAGUGAAAUAGAACCUGAAACCGUGUACGUACAAGCAGUAGGAGCACCUUCGUGGUGUGACUGCGUACCUUUUGUAUAAUGGGUCAGCGACUUAUAUUCAGUGGCAAGGUUAACCGUAUAGGGGAGCCGUAGCGAAAGCGAGUCUUAACUGGGCGCUCAGUCUCUGGAUAUAGACCCGAAACCGGGUGAUCUAGCCAUGGGCAGGUUGAAGGUUGAGUAACAUCAACUGGAGGACCGAACCGACUAAUGUUGAAAAAUUAGCGGAUGACUUGUGGCUAGGGGUGAAAGGCCAAUCAAACUCGGAGAUAGCUGGUUCUCCCCGAAAGCUAUUUAGGUAGCGCCUCGGACGAAUACUACUGGGGGUAGAGCACUGUUAAGGCUAGGGGGUCAUCCCGACUUGCCAACCCUUUGCAAACUCCGAAUACCAGUAAGUACUAUCCGGGAGACACACGGCGGGUGCUAACGUCCGUCGUGGAGAGGGAAACAACCCAGACCGCCAGCUAAGGUCCCAAAGUAUUGCUAAGUGGGAAACGAUGUGGGAAGGCUCAGACAGCUAGGAUGUUGGCUUAGAAGCAGCCAUCAUUUAAAGAAAGCGUAAUAGCUCACUAGUCGAGUCGGCCUGCGCGGAAGAUGUAACGGGGCUAAGCAAUACACCGAAGCUGCGGCAAUGUCUUUUAGACAUUGGGUAGGGGAGCGUUCUGUAAGCCGUUGAAGGUGUAAUCGUAAGGUUUGCUGGAGGUAUCAGAAGUGCGAAUGCUGACAUGAGUAACGACAAAGGGGGUGAAAAACCUCCUCGCCGGAAGACCAAGGGUUCCUGUCCAACGUUAAUCGGGGCAGGGUGAGUCGACCCCUAAGGUGAGGCCGAAAGGCGUAAUCGAUGGGAAACGGGUUAAUAUUCCCGUACUUCUGACUAUUGCGAUGGGGGGACGGAGAAGGCUAGGUGGGCCAGGCGACGGUUGUCCUGGUUCAAGUGCGUAGGCUUGAGAGUUAGGUAAAUCCGGCUCUCUCUAAGGCUGAGACACGACGUCGAGCUACUACGGUAGUGAAGUCAUUGAUGCCAUGCUUCCAGGAAAAGCCUCUAAGCUUCAGAUAGUCAGGAAUCGUACCCCAAACCGACACAGGUGGUCGGGUAGAGAAUACCAAGGCGCUUGAGAGAACUCGGGUGAAGGAACUAGGCAAAAUGGUACCGUAACUUCGGGAGAAGGUACGCUCUUGAUGGUGAAGUCCCUCGCGGAUGGAGCUGACGAGAGUCGCAGAUACCAGGUGGCUGCAACUGUUUAUUAAAAACACAGCACUGUGCAAAAUCGCAAGAUGACGUAUACGGUGUGACGCCUGCCCGGUGCCGGAAGGUUAAUUGAUGGGGUUAGCGCAAGCGAAGCUCUUGAUCGAAGCCCCGGUAAACGGCGGCCGUAACUAUAACGGUCCUAAGGUAGCGAAAUUCCUUGUCGGGUAAGUUCCGACCUGCACGAAUGGCGUAAUGAUGGCCACGCUGUCUCCACCCGAGACUCAGUGAAAUUGAAAUCGCUGUGAAGAUGCAGUGUACCCGCGGCUAGACGGAAAGACCCCGUGAACCUUUACUACAGCUUGGCACUGAACAUUGAACCUACAUGUGUAGGAUAGGUGGGAGGCUAUGAAGACGUGACGCCAGUUGCGUUGGAGCCGUCCUUGAAAUACCACCCUUGUAUGUUUGAUGUUC
rnacentral:rRNA from 1 species